UACGUAGGGGGCAAGCGUUGUCCGGAUUUACUGGGCGUAAAGAGCGUGUAGGCGGCCAGACCGGUCCGUUGUGAAAACUGGAGGCUCAACCUUCAGACGUCGACGGAAACCGUUUGGCUAGAGUCCGGAAGAGGAGAGUGGAAUUCCUGGUGUAGCGGUGAAAUGCGCAGAUAUCAGGAAGAACACCGAUGGCGAAGGCAGCUCUCUGGGACGGUACUGACGCUGAUGCGCGAAAGCUAGGGGAGCAAACAGG
rnacentral:rRNA from 1 species